AUCACACACACUGCGUGAGAUAUAUAUAUAUAUAUAGAUAUAUAUAUAUAUAUAUCUAUAUAUAUAUAUAUCUCACGCAGAGUGUGUGUG